rnacentral:lncRNA from 1 species
CCCAGGCACCCUGCAAAAUUAACAAUCUUAUUUCUUCUCUGAUACACUAGCCUGUCUUCUCGAAGAGUUCUUUCAUGAAUAUCUCCUUGUCACAAGCCAAACUGGGUGCUUUGCGUGGUGGCCAGUUCGUAUGGUACUAUGGAGACUGAAGGAUAUACUUUGAAGAUAACAUACUCAUGCA